rnacentral:rRNA from 1 species
AGUGCUAGAUGUUGGGAACAUUCGAUAUCAGUGUCACAGUUAACGCGUUAAGCACUUCGCCUGGGGAGUACGGCCGCAAGGUUAAAACUUAAAGGAAUUGACCGGGGACCCGCACAACCGGUGGAGCAUGUUGUUUAAUUCGAAGAUACGCGAACAACCUUACCUACUCUUGACAUCCCGAUCGCGAAUUUCAGAGAUGAUUUUCUUCAGUUUGGCAUGGAUCGGUGACAGAUGCUGCAUGGUUGUCGUCAGCUCGUGUCGUGAGAUGUUGGGUUAAGUCCCGCAACGAGCGCAACCCUUACUGUUAGUCGCCAUCAGGUUAUGCUGGGAACUCUAGCCGAACUGCCGGUGAUAAGCCGGAGGAAGGUGGGUAUGACGUCAAAUCAGCAUGGUUCUUACGAUUAGGUCCACACAACGUGCUACAAUGGUAACUACAGAAAGCGGCAAACUUGCAAGAGAGAGCUAAUCUUUUAGGAGCUCUAUCCUCAGUGUCCGAAUAGUCCCUCUGCAACGCGAGGGCAUGAAGUGGGAAUCGCUAGUAAUCGCAGGUCAG